rnacentral:rRNA from 1 species
CGCGUAGGCGGGAUGGCAAGUCGGUCGUGAAAUCCCUCGGCUCAACUGAGGAUCGUCGAUCGAUACUGCCGUUCUUGAGGAUUGCAGAGGAGACUGGAAUCCCCGGUGUAGCGGUGAAAUGUGUAGAGAUCGGGAGGAACACCGGUGGCGAAGGCGGGUCUCUGGGCAAUUCCUGACGCUGAGGCGCGAAAGCGUGGGAGCAAACG